UGAGGCAGGCAGAAGUCAUUCUGGUGAAAGAUGGGAAACACAUCAUCCUUCACACUGAUUUGAAAAAAUUAUUAAAUGUGUUGCUUAAUUUUUUUUUAAGUGCAGCUAUAAUGGUUCUGAGCAUCCCAAUCCCAAUGAAGUUUGUGUGUGAUGUUUUCCCACAAAUGAGCAAUUCUUCAACACCAACUGUGUGCCCUACAAUUCAACUCAAUUUGACACUAUCUACCUGGAGAUUCCACAGAUUAAGGAUUCAGUCCUACAAGACUGCCCUCUACUGCCAUUUCAGAUGCCAACUGUAGGUCCGGUUUGUCAUUUGUGCUUCUGACCAACAGACUAUAGACUGGAGGUUUCAGCAACCCGCCCCCAUUGGGUUAAUUUGUUAGAGCAGAUCACAAAACUCAUAAAAACAUUUUACUUUCCAGGUAACCAAUUUAUUAUAAAAGAUAUAAAGAAGAAUAGUGAGACAGGAGAAAUACACGUGGUAAGGUUUGGGAAAAGGUGAGAGCUUCUGUGCCACCUCCAACUUCAUCACUCUCCCUAAAUUUCUGUGUGUUUACCAACCAGAAGCUCUCCAAACCCAUCCCUUUGGGUUUUUCUGGAGGCAUCGUUACAUAGGCAUGAUCAAAUCAUUGGCUGUUGGUGAUUGGUUUAACCCUAGCCCCUCUUCCUUCCCGGGAUGUUGUUAUUUCAGGGUGGACCUGAAGGUUCCGAACACAUUGUUGUACCUACUGGCAACUAGCCCCUACCCUUAGGUGAUUUUCAAAGUCACCUCAGCAAUGUAACAGAAGAUACCUUUAUCACUGCACAGUGAAAGUGUUGUAAAACUGGCCAAACAGCACAAACUUGUCAAACCCCCUGACCGGUAAAAUGGGUUCCCUGAUCACCAUGAAGUUUUAGAGGGGUUCCCCAGGUAGGAAUAAUCUUUUCUAACAGAAUUUUAGCCACGGAAGAGAUGCAAGCCUAUCCACGAAGGAAAAGAUUUGGUCCAGUGAGAAAACAUACAAACUACGAGAUGGAGAAGUUGUAUGAAAUCCAUCCAUAUGAACAGCUUUUCCUGGAUUAUACUUUGGACAAGUGGGACAAGUAAGACUUUGUGUCCUUUAAGGCCAAGAACUUUUCUGUGAAGAGGUUUGAGGAAGGGGAAGGGAGAAGCAAAUCAUCUGUAUACCGUAAUAAAUUAGAGCCUGUAGAAGA